AGUGAACGCUGGCGGUAGGCCUAACACAUGCAAGUCGAACGGCAGCACAGUAAGAGCUUGCUCUUACGGGUGGCGAGUGGCGGACGGGUGAGGAAUACAUCUGAAUCUACUUUUUCGUUGGGGAUAACGUAGGGAAACUUACGCUAAUACCUCAUACGACCUACGGGUGAAAGCAGGGGAUCUUCGGACCUUGCGCGAUUGAAUGAGCCGAUGUCUGAUUAGCUAGUUGGCGGGGUAAAGGCCCACCAAGGCGACGAUCCGUAGCUGGUCUGAGAGGAUGAUCAGACACACUGGAACUGAGACACGGGCCAGACUCCUACGGGAGGCAGCAGUGGGGAAUAUUGGACAAUGGGCGCAAGCCUGAUCCAGCCAUGCAGCGUGGGUGAAGAAGGCCUUCGGGUUGUAAAGCCCUUUUGUUGGGAAAGAAAAGCAGCAGGUUAAAACCCCGCUGUUCUGACGGUACCCAAGGAAUAAGCACCGGCUAACUUCGUG
rnacentral:rRNA from 1 species